ACAACCACAUAUCACAGUAGUUAGUAUAUUCAGACAGCUAGGUGAGACAACCACAUAUCACAGUAGUUAGUAUAUUCAGAUAGCUAGGUGAGACAACCACAUAUCACAGUAGUUAGUAUAUUCAGAUAGCUAGGUGGGACAACCACAUAUCACAGUAGUUAGUAUAUUCAGAUAGCUAGGUGAGACAACCACAUAUCACAGUAGUUAGUAUAUUCAGAUAGCUAGGUGAGACAACCACAUAUCACAGUAGUUAGUAUAUUCAGAUAGCUAGGUGAGACAACCACAUAUCACAGUAGUUAGUAUAUUCAGAUAGCUAGGUGGGACAACCACAUAUCACAGUAGUUAGUAUAUUCAGAUAGCUAGGUGGGACAACCACAUAUCACAGUAGUUAGUAUAUUCAGAUAGCUAGGUGAGACAACCACAUAUCACAGUAGUUAGUAUAUUCAGAUAGCUAGGUGAGACAACCACAUAUCACAGUAGUUAGUAUAUUCAGAUAGCUAGGUGAGACAACCACAUAUCACAGUAGUUAGUAUAUUCAGAUAGCUAGGUGAGACAACCACAUAUCACAGUAGUUAGUAUAUUCAGAUAGCUAGGUGAGACAACCACAUAUCACAGUAGUUAGUAUAUUCAGAUAGCUAGGUGGGACAACCACAUAUCACAGUAGUUAGUAUAUUCAGAUAGCUAGGUGGGACAACCACAUAUCACAGUAGUUAGUAUAUUCAGAUAGCUAGGUGAGACAACCACAUUACAGUAGUUAGUAUAUUCAGAUAGCGAGGUGAGACAACCACAUUACAGUAGUUAGUAUAUUCAGAUAGCGAG